rnacentral:rRNA from 1 species
GAUGAACGCUGGCGGCGUGCCUAAUACAUGCAAGUCGAACGAAGUUAUUGUAGCAAUACGAUAACUGAGUGGCGAACGGGUGAGUAACGCGUUGGUGACCUGCCCCGAAGAGGGGGAUAACAGUCCGAAAGGAUUGCUAAUACCCCAUAAUGUCACCGGUUUUAGAAUCUGGUAACGAAAGUCGCAAGACACUUUGGGAGGGACCUGCGUCCCAUCAGCUAGUUGGUAAGGUAACGGCCUACCAAGGCAAUGACGGGUAGGGGACCUUAGAGGGUGGACCCCCACAAUGGCACUGAAACACGGGCCAUACACCUACGGGUGGCAG